GACGAACGCUGGCGGCGUGCUUAACACAUGCAAGUCGAACGGAAAGGCCCUGCUUGCAGGGUACUCGAGUGGCGAACGGGUGAGUAACACGUGGGUGAUCUGCCCUGCACUUCGGGAUAAGCCUGGGAAACUGGGUCUAAUACCGGAUAGGAGCCAUUUUUAGUGUGAUGGUUGGAAAGUUUUUUCGGUGUAGGAUGAGCUCGCGGCCUAUCAGCUUGUUGGUGGGGUAAUGGCCUACCAAGGCGGCGACGGGUAGCCGGCCUGAGAGGGUGGACGGCCACAUUGGGACUGAGAUACGGCCCAGACUCCUACGGGGGGCAGCAGUGGGGAAUAUUGCACAAUGGGCGCCAGCCUGAUGCAGCGACGCCGCGUGGGGGAUGACGGCCUUCGGGUUGUAAACUCCUUUCGCUAGGGACGAAGCUUUUUGUGACGGUACCUAGAUAAGAAGCACCGGCUAACUACGUG
rnacentral:rRNA from 1 species